rnacentral:rRNA from 1 species
GACGAACGCUGGCGGCGUGCCUAACACAUGCAAGUCGAACGGAGUUAAUAUGGAAGUACCUUCGGGUGCGGAAGUGCUAACUUAGUGGCGAACGGGUGAGUAACGCGUGAGAAACCUGCCUCUCAGUGGGGACAACAGUUGGAAACGACUGCUAAUACCGCAUAACACUUUAGUACCGCAUGGUACAGAAGUCAAAGCUUUAUGUGCUGAGAGAUGGUCUCGCGUCUGAUUAGCUAGAUGGCGGGUAACGGCCCACCAUGGCGACGAUCAGUAGCCGACCUGAGAGGGUGAUCGGCCACAUUGGGACUGAGACACGGCCCAAACUCCUACGGGAGGCAGCAGUGGGAAUAUUGGGCAAUGGGGGAACCCUGACCCAGCAACGCCGCGUGGAGGAAGAAGGUUUCGGAUCGUAAACUCCUGUCCUCAGGGAAGAGCAGAAGACGGUACCUGAGGAGG